rnacentral:lncRNA from 10 species
CUCUAACUCAAGACUGGACAUGAAUUUCCCAGAAGAUAUUAAUGACCAAGCGUAUCAGGACAGACACACCCAGCAGAUUCAACACCGCCACCUGCAGAGGUGACCAUCAGCCAAACAUCAGGAGCGUCCUGGUGAUGACUGGGACUUUGCCCUUGUGGGCAGAGGGGGAGGUUUGGAUGAAACAAUUGCCUGCAGGUAAAUCUCCAGAUAAUUUGAAAAAGCAACAUCAUUGCCCUCGAUCUUCCUGAGACUGUGCCCGGCAAAGACACCAGCAGGACUUCCCAGGCUGCUUAGCAGGAGCCACCUUCAGGUCCGCAGGCCCCACCUCCCAGGCAGCCCUGGGCGCCUCUGGCAGCAGAGCCUGCUCUGCCCAUGCAUAUGGCAGCCAGAAAGUGCCAGGCGCGGCAGUCCACCCGUGGCGAUGGGAGUGGUGGGUGACGUCCCCAGCCCCCACCUCCUCGGGAUGGGGAAGACUUUGAGGGGCGUGUUCUGCCCAGUUUCAGAAUCCCCCAGGAGGAUGGAGCCCCAGUUGCCAGCACUGGGAACCCGCUAGGUUCCGAGCCUUGGUUGGCUGCAUUCUCCCCAGCCCACGUCCCCCCUCCACACCCCCACUGCUGUUUCCUGGAACUGGCUCCCGAAAAACAAGCUUGCAUCCAGUCCCUGUCGCAGAAUCUGCUCCUGUUUAUUCCAAUGACGUACAGGCAUGUUCUGCUGCCCUGUACGCUCUGGCUUGUAUUUGGAAAUGCAAGAGUCAUCUCAUGUAACAGCAAGAUUGUAACUUUUAAAAUAAAGCAGCCUCAAAACAGAAAAUUAUGAAGAAAGCAUGGAUUCCUCAAAGUUAACCCCUGUGUCCUUCUUCAGAGGAAUCCCACCUCCGCCCCAGGCCCGGUGAGAUGGCAAAGCCACCUCGGAGAACGUGACGUGGAUGGCAGCUGCUCAGGACACAAGAUCAGAGACAGGCAGGUGUUGUCCUGCUCCUAGGAUUGGCCCACACAGAGGGUCUUUGCCGACACAUUUUCAGUUUUCAAGAUAAAUCGGUGGAAGAAAUCUGAAGUUCUCACUGUUUGCUCCCCAGAUGUCAUGGCAACCUUCACCUCCACUUCACGCACACCCACUAUUCCCUUCAAACAAAUGGUGUAAAAUGAGCUUUGUUGUUUCUUUAUGGACAGAUUAGAUCAUGUAGCUGAUCAUGUUGCCCUUUUCAUGUGGGUCCCUAGAAAGCACAUUUUCUCAAACUCAAAAGGCCCUCUGCAUCCUGCAUAUCUGCACUCUUACUUUCUCCAGGAUAAAACUGGUUUCUCUGUGCCAUUUUAUUUUUAUUUGUCACUAUGCUUUUCCACUUCUAUGCAUUAUACUAAGACACUUCAGAUAUCUUGGAAAUGAGUAGAGUAUGGCUGCCUACAAACCUACACACAAACACUGAGCAGACACUCACAGGCACAUAAAUGCCACAUCCAGACCUGAGGUCACAGGAUCUGAGCUCUGGAUGUGAUUACAAAGAUGUAAAGAAGGAACUGGUAAAACCAGUGAACAGUCAGCCAGUAUUCCAAAUAUAUAAGGAAGGCACAAACCAGUAAGAAAAAGACAAAUUACACAAUGUGAAAAUGGCAAAGACUUGAAGAAUCCUUUCACCAAGGAGGGAGCAAGAA